rnacentral:rRNA from 1 species
AAUUGGAGGGCAAGUCUGGUGCCAGCAGCCGCGGUAAUUCCAGCUCCAAUAGCGUAUAUUAAAGUUGUUGCAGUUAAAAAGCUCGUAGUUGAAUUUCGGGAUCAAUAUUUCGGUCAUGCCGUUGGUAUGCACUGUUAUCAUUGAUUUCUCACCUUCUAAAGAACCGUAAUGCCAUUAAUUUGGUGUUACGGGGAAUUAGGACUGUUACCUUGAAAAAAUUAGAGUGUUUAAAGCAGGCUCACGCUUGAAUACAUUAGCAUGGAAUAAUGAAAUAGGACAUCCGAUUCUAUUUUGUUGGUUUCUAGGAUCGAUGUAAUGAUUAAUAGGGAUAGUUGGGGGCAUUAGUAUUCAAUUGUCAGAGGUGAAAUUCUUGGAUUUAUUGAAGACUAACUACUGCGAAAGCAUUUGCCAAGGAUGUUUUCAUUAAUCAAGAACGAAAGCUAGGGGAUCGAAGACGAUCAGAUACCGUCGUAGUCUUAACCAUAAACUAUGCCGACUAGGGAUCGGAUGAUGUUAAUUUUUUAAUGACUCAUUCGGCGCCUUACGGGAAACCAAAGUGU